AUUGAACGCCGGCGGCAUGCCUAACACAUGCAAGUCGAACGGCAGCACAGUCUAGCUUGCUAGACGGGUGGCGAGUGGCGAACGGGUGAGUAACGCGUAGGAAUAUACCUUGAAGUGGGGGACAACCUGGGGAAACUCAGGCUAAUACCGCGUAAUCUCUUCGGAGGGAAGCUGGGGACCGCAAGGACUGGCGCUUUAAGAUUAGCCUGCGUCCGAUUAGCUAGUUGGGGGGGUAAAGGCAUACCAAGGCGACGAUCGGUAGAUGGUCUGAGGGGAUGAUCAGCCACACUGGGACUGAGGCACGGCCCAGACUCCGACCGGAGGCAGAAGUGGGGAAUAUUGGACAAUGGGGGGAAGCCUGAUCCAGCAAUGCGGCGUGGGUGAAGAAGGCCUGAGGGUUGUAAAGCACUUUCGGCGGGGAGGAGGAUAAGUUGGUUAAGAGCUGACUUAUUGGACGUUACCCGCAUAAGAAGCACCGGCUAACUCCGUGCCAGCCGCCGCCGUAAGAC
rnacentral:rRNA from 1 species